CCCUGGACUGCAAAAGCCUUCCGAGCAGAAUGACAGAAACCCAUUGGGAAAGAUCAACUAUUCAACCUAAAGCUAAAAAACCUUGGACUUUGAAGUCAGUAGGUGAAACAGCAGCAGGCAGCAUCAUUGGCCAAGCCACCAGAAGUUAGAAACAUUCUUCACCUGCUCAACUUGAAAAAAAAAGACCAGGCUCCUGCUUAUCUCCUGCCCGGUGUUACUUGGGGAAGAGGUGACUGAGAUGUCUCUGGGUUGUGCUGGGCCUGCUGAGUUGCAGUGGAUGGAUGGGAACGUGGUGAUUAGACAAAUAGGUAUUAGCACUCAUCUCCUAACCCCCAUCUUUUCAAGAUCUCGACACUCCAGUCCCUCCUCUGAUCUUCUGCCCUGAGCACCUUGGCACCGCUCUGGAAGACCCGGGCCAUGAAAGGACUUGGACAAGCAAAUGUUUUGCAGUGUUGACCUCUGAAAUUCCAUCAAAUAUUCUUUUUCCAUGUGACUUUUUUCUCUCUUUCCUUUCUUAUUUCCUUCCUUCCUUCCUGCCUGCCUUCCUAGAAUUUUAAGAAAAAGAAAGGAAAACGUGAGAGAAAAGGGAGAUGAAUUUUUAUGAACUCUGUGAUUACGUAUAAUAUGGCUAAAAUUACAUAAUAUUGUUCCUAUAUAAGGAUAGUUUUAAGCACCUGGUUAUUAAAGGUGUUCUUUCAGACUACCAGUAAACAGAGACUGCAUAUCCACAAAUUUCUUGUUGUUUAGAGCA